GAGGAAUAAGCAUCGGCUAACUCCGUGCCAGCAGCCGCGGUAAUACGGGGGAUGCAAGCGUUAUCCGGAAUCAUUGGGCGUAAAGCGCCUGUAGGUUGUUUAAUAAGUCUGUUGUUAAAGACUAGGGCUCAACCCUAGGAAAGCAAUGGAAACUACUAGACUUGAGUAUGAUAGGGGUAGAGGGAAUUUCUAGUGUAGCGGUGAAAUGCGUAGAUAUUAGGAAGAACACCGGUGGCGAAGGCGCUCUACUGGAUCAUUACUGACACUCAGAGGCGAAAGCUAGGGUAGCAAAAGGGAUUAGAUACCCCUGUAGUCCUAGCCGUAAACGAUGGAUACUAGAUGUUGCGUUUAUUAUGCAGUAUCGUAGCUAACGCGUUAAGUAUCCCGCCUGGGGAGUACGCUCGCAAGGGUGAAACUCAAAGGAAUUGACGGGGGCCCGCACAAGCGGUGGAGCAUGUGGUUUAAUUCGAUGCAACGCGAAGAACCUUACCAAGGCUUGACAUACUACAAAUUUCUUUGAAAGAGGAAAGUGCCUUCGGGAAUGUAGAUACAGGUGGUGCAUGGCUGUCGUCAGCUCGUGUCGUGAGAUGUUGGGUUAAGUCCCGCAACGAGCGCAACCCUUAUUUUUAGUUGCUAAUUUAUUACGUUUUCUAGAAAGACUGCCGGUGACAAACCGGAGAGGUGAGGAUGACGUCAAGUCAGCAUGCCCCUUAUGCCUGGGCUACACACGUGCUACAAUGGUUAAGACAAAGAGUUGCGAGCUCGCGAGAGUCAGCUAUCUUCAUAAACUUAGCCUUAGUUCGAUGGUAGCUUGCACUCCGCCUGCAUGAAG
rnacentral:rRNA from 1 species